rnacentral:misc_RNA from 1 species
GAAAUGCGAUAAGUAAUGUGAAUUGCAGAAUUCGGUGAAUCAUCGAAUCUUUGAACGCACCUUGCGCUCCUUGGUAUUCCUUGGAGCAUGCCUGUUUGAGUAUCAUGAAAUCUUCAAAGUAAAUCUUUUGUUAACUCAAUUGGCUUCUACUUUGGUAUUGGAGGUCUUUGCAGCUUCACACCUGCUCCUCUUUGUUCAUUAGCUGGAUCUCAGUGUUAUGCUUGGUUCCACUCGGCGUGAUAAGUUAUCUAUCGCUGAGGACACUGUAAAAGGUGGCCAAGGUAAAUGCAGAUGAACCGCUUCUAAUAGUCCAUUGACUUGGACAAUACUUUUAUGAUCUGAUCUCAAAUCAGGUAGGACUACCCGCUGAACUUAAGC